rnacentral:rRNA from 1 species
GACGAACGCUGGCGGCGUGCUUAACACAUGCAAGUCGAACGGAAAGGCCCUGCUUUUGUGGGUUGCUCGGGUGGCGAACGGGUGAGUACCACGUGAGUAACCUGCCCUUGACUUUGGGAUAACUUCAGGAAACUGGGGCUAAUACCGGAUAGGAGCUCCUGCUGCAUGGUGGGGGUUGGAAAGUUUCGGCGGUUGGGGAUGGACUCGCGGCUUAUCAGCUUGUUGGUGGGGUAGUGGCUUACCAAGGCUUUGACGGGUAGCCGGCCUGAGAGGGUGACCGGCCACAUUGGGACUGAGAUACGGCCCAGACUCCUACGGGAGGCAGCAGUGGGGAAUAUUGCACAAUGGGCGGAAGCCUGAUGCAGCAACGCCGCGUGCGGGAUGACGGCCUUCGGGUUGUAAACCGCUUUCGCCUGUGACGAAGCGUGAGUGACGGUAAUGGGUAAAGAAGCACCGGCUAACUACGUG